rnacentral:SRP_RNA from 1 species
CAUCGCGAGGAAAACCCCACGAACCUGGUCAGGACCGGAAGGUAGCAGCCAUAAGAGGGGAGUUCCUGUGCGGUGGUUUUC